GUGAACGCUGGCGGUAGGCCUAACACAUGCAAGUCGAACGGCAGCACAGUAAGAGCUUGCUCUUACGGGUGGCGAGUGGCGGACGGGUGAGGAAUACAUCGGAAUCUACUUUUUCGUGGGGGAUAACGUAGGGAAACUUACGCUAAUACCGCAUACGACCUACGGGUGAAAGCAGGGGAUCUUCGGACCUUGCGCGAUUGAAUGAGCCGAUGUCGGAUUAGCUAGUUGGCGGGGUAAAGGCCCACCAAGGCGACGAUCCGUAGCUGGUCUGAGAGGAUGAUCAGCCACACUGGAACUGAGACACGGUCCAGACUCCUACGGGAGGCAGCAGUGGGGAAUAUUGGACAAAGGGCGCAAUCCUGAUCCAGCCAUACCGCGUGGGUGAAGAAGGCCUUCGGGUUGUAAAGCCCUUUUGUUGGGAAAGAAAAGCAGCAGGUUAAUACCCCGCUGUUCUGACGGUACCCAAAGAAUAAGCACCGGCUAACUUCGUG
rnacentral:rRNA from 1 species